CUCUUCUUUCUCUCGAUGUCUGCCCGUAUAUCUCCCUCUCUCUUUUCCUCAAAUCGUUAGCGUCGCGACGGGCGAGUUUCCGCCCGGAGGAACCGUCUCUCUCUCUCUCGCGCGCGCGCGCGAGAGAAAACAGUGUCGCCGAGGAUUUCUCGGAUGAAAAUCGGACGACAAGAAGAAAUAAAACUUUUACAUUGAAUUUCACAUCGAUAUAUUCUGUAUCUCGCGAGAGACUCGAUUUAGUAUUUAAAAAAAAAAAAAAAAAAAAAAAA